AGCGAACUUCUUUUUU
rnacentral:misc_RNA from 2 species